AUACAAAGCACCCAGGGAACUUGUUAAAAUGCAGAUUCUGUUUCAGCAAGUCUGAGAUGGAGCCUCAGAUUCUGCAUUUCUAACAAGUUCCCAGAUGAUGCUUGU
rnacentral:pre_miRNA from 1 species